rnacentral:rRNA from 1 species
CCUACGGGAGGCAGCAGUGGGGAAUAUUGGGCAAUGGACGCAAGUCUGACCCAGCAACGCCGCGUGAAGGAAGAAGGCUUUCGGGUUGUAAACUUCUUUUAAGGGGGAAGAGGAGAAGACGGUACCCCUUGAAUAAGCCACGGCUAACUACGUGCCAGCAGCCGCGGUAAUACGUAGGUGGCAAGCGUUGUCCGGAUUUACUGGGUGUAAAGGGCGUGUAGUCGGGCCGACAAGUCAGCUGUGAAAUCCGCGGGCUUAACCCGCGAACUGCAUUUGAAACUAUAGGUCUUGAGUGCCGGAGAGGUAGUCGGAAUUCGGUGUGUAGCGGUGAAAUGCGUAGAUAGAAGGAAGAACACCGAUGGCGAAGGCAGAUUACUGGACGGUAACUGACGGUGAGGCGCGAAAGCGUGGGGAGCAAACAGGAUGAGAUACCCUUGUAGUA